UACGUAGGGCGCAAGCGUUAUCCGGAAUUAUUGGGCGUAAAGAGCUCGUAGGCGGUUUGUCGCGUCUGCCGUGAAAGUCCGGGGCUCAACUCCGGAUCUGCGGUGGGUACGGGCAGACUAGAGUGAUGUAGGGGAGACUGGAAUUCCUGGUGUAGCGGUGAAAUGCGCAGAUAUCAGGAGGAACACCGGUGGCGAAGGCGGCACGCUGGGUCCCUACUGACGCUGAGGCGCGAAAGCCAGGGGAGCGAACGGG
rnacentral:rRNA from 1 species